rnacentral:rRNA from 1 species
UUUUUUAUAUUUUUUAUUUUUUUUCUCCUCGAUUGACGCUAGCGGGAUGCCUUACACAUGCAAGUCGAACGGCAGCGGGAAAGUAGCUUGCUACUUUUGCCGGCGAGUGGCGAACGGGUGAGUAAUGUAUCGGAACGUGCCCAGUAGCGGGGGAUAACUACGCGAAAGCGUGGCUAAUACCGCAUACGCCCUACGGGGGAAAGGGGGGGAUCUUAGGACCUCUCACUAUUGGAGCGGCCGAUAUCGGAUUAGCUAGUUGGUGGGGUAAAGGCCUACCAAGGCGACGAUCCGUAGCUGGUUUGAGAGGACGACCAGCCACACUGGGACUGAGACACGGCCCAGACUCCUACGGGAGGCAGCAGUGGGGAAUUUUGGACAAUGGGGGAAACCCUGAUCCAGCCAUCCCGCGUGUGCGAUGAAGGCCUUCGGGUUGUAAAGCACUUUUGUCAGGGAAGAAAAGGUUUCGGAUAAUACCCGGAACUGAUGACGGUACCUGAAGAAUAAGCACCGGCUAACUACGUGCCAGCAGCCGCGGUAAUACGUAGGGUGCAAGCGUUAAUCGGAAUUACUGGGCGUAAAGCGUGCGCAGGCGGUUCGGAAAGAAAGAUGUGAAAUCCCAGGGCUCAACCUUGGAACUGCAUUUUUAACUACCGAACUAGAGUAUGUCAGAGGGGGGUGGAAUUCCACGUGUAGCAGUGAAAUGCGUAGAUAUGUGGAGGAACACCGAUGGCGAAGGCAGCCCCCUGGGAUAAUACUGACGCUCAUGCACGAAAGCGUGGGGAGCAAACAGGAUUAGAUACCCUGGUAGUCCACGCCCUAAACGAUGUCAACUAGCUGUUGGGCCCUUCGGGGCUUAGUAGCGCAGCUAACGCGUGAAGUGACCGCUGGAGACUCCAUUGC